rnacentral:rRNA from 1 species
UACGUAGGGGGCAAGCGUUGUCCGGAUUUAUUGGGCGUAAAGAGCGUGUAGGCGGCCAUGCAGGUCAGCUGUGAAAACUCGAGGCUCAACCUCGAGACGUCGGUUGAAACCGCUUGGCUAGAGUCCGGAAGAGGAGAGUGGAAUUCCCGGUGUAGCGGUGAAAUGCGCAGAUAUCGGGAAGAACACCCAUGGCGAAGGCGGCUCUCUGGGACGGUACUGACGCUGAGGAGCGAAAAGCGUGGGGAGCGAACAGGG